AGUACAGAUGGAACAAUUUCUUCUCUGUUAGUGGCACAUUGUCAAUGGUGUGUCUGACAACAUUCUCAACCACAUCAUCCUAGAGAACAAUGAGAACAAGCCUGUCACAAACAGUCGUGACACUCAGGAGAUAUGCCUUGAACAAGGCCUUCAUAUCCUCAAGAUAUUCGAGGAUUAUCAUGUCAGCAAAACAUCCAUCCGGAACGACCUUGCCUCAGCAAUGGGAAACACUCCAAACCCAUACGAGCAAGCCAUGUCCACUUGUGUGAAUGACCAAGCGAUGAUGCUAUCGCAUAUGGUGUGGCAUGAGUCUACAAUUUCACUAUAGUUAUGAAAACUGAUCAGUCAAUGAUGAUGAAUCAUACGAACCUUUUUUACUUCAGCACGUUCUUUAAUAGGGGACGAAUUUGCAUGAGGUGUUAUGAA